GACGAACGCUGGCGGCGUGCCUAAUACAUGCAAGUCGAGCGAAGGUUUUCUGGUGCUUGCACUAGAAAAACUUAGCGGCGAACGGGUGAGUAACACGUAAAGAACCUGCCUCAUAGACUGGGACAACUAUUGGAAACGAUAGCUAAUACCGGAUAACAGUAUUUCUCGCAUGAGAGAUAUUUAAAAGUUGGUUAUGCUAACACUAUGAGAUGGCUUUGCGGUGCAUUAGCUAGUUGGUGGGGUAAAGGCCCACCAAGGCGACGAUGCAUAGCCGACCUGAGAGGGUGAUCGGCCACACUGGGACUGAGACACGGCCCAGACUCCUACGGGAAGCAGCAGUAGGGAAUCUUCCGCAAUGGGCGAAAGCCUGACGGAGCAACGCCGCGUGAGUGAAGAAGGAUUUCGGUUCGUAAAGCUCUGUUGUUAGGGAAGAAUGGAUAUGUAGUAACUAGACAUGUAUGUGACGGUACCUAACCAGAAAGCCACGGCUAACUACGUG
rnacentral:rRNA from 1 species